CACAUGCUCCCUCUGUCCCUAAAUUAUUGUCUUAGAUUCGUCUAGAUACGGAUGUAUCUAAUACUAAAACGUGACUUGAUACAUCCGUAUGUAGGCAAAUCUAAGAGAAGAAUUUUGGGACGGAGGGAGUAUAAU
rfam:Triticum aestivum genome assembly, contig: Triticum_aestivum_CS42_TGACv1_scaffold_031367_1BL